AGAACUUAGCAGAGAUGCUUUGGUGCCUUCGGGAACUCUGAGACAGGUGCUGCAUGGCUGUCGUCAGCUCGUGUUGUGAAAUGUUGGGUUAAGUCCCGCAACGAGCGCAACCCUUAUCCUUUGUUGCCAGCGGUCCGGCCGGGAAACUCAAAGGAGACUGCCAGUGAUAAACUGGAGGAAGGUGGGGAUGACGUCAAGUCAUCAUGGCCCUUACGAGUAGGGCUACACACGUGCUACAAUGGCGCAUACAAAGAGAAGCGACCUCGCGAGAGCAAGCGGACCUCAUAAAGUGCGUCGUAGUCCGGAUUGGAGUCUGCAACUCGACUCCAUGAAGUCGGAAUCGCUAGUAAUCGUGGAUCAGAAUGCCACGGUGAAUACGUUCCCGGGCCUUGUACACACCGCCCGUCACACCAUGGGAGUGGGUUGCAAAAGAAGUAGGUAGCUUAACCUUCGGGAGGGCGCUUACCACUUUGUGAUUCAUGACUGGGGUGAAGUCGUAACAAGGUAGGCGUAGUGCU
rnacentral:rRNA from 1 species